CGCUCCCGCAGCGCCCCCUGGCGGCCGGAGGGAUGCGCAGCCCCGCCCUGGCCGGGACUCGAACCCGGGACCCGAAUCCGGGCAAGGGUCGAGGGUUCGAGUCCCGGCGCCGGCUCUUGUCCCUCCAGCACAUCCCCAGCCCCGCUUUUUUCCGAAAGAAUCACAGAAUCAAUUGGAUUGGAAAAGACCUCUGAGAGCAUCGAGCCCUAGCUCUGACCAAACAGCACCAUGGCACUGAGUGCCACACCCAGUCUUUCCUUAAACACCUCCGGGGGACAGUGACUCCACCACCUCCCUGGGCAGCCCAUUCCCAAUGUCUAACCCCCCUUUCUGUGAAGAAAUUCUUCCUCAUGUCCACCCUAAACCUCCCUGGAGCAGUUUAAGACAAUGUCCUUUUGUCCUGCCACUCACUGACCGGGAGAAGAGCCUGACCUCCACCUGGCUACACCCUCCUGUCAGCCCUCCAGCUCUGGGUCACUGGGACGGAGGCUCGCCCCUGUGCCGUGCCUGGGCCAGGAGAACGGGGCAGAGCACCCUGGAAAGCCGUGGCAGGCAGCACCCACAGGUGCCCAACCGCAGGGCACCGCCUCCCCGAGCAUUCCUCUGCAGGCUGCCAGGACAAGCCUUUCAUCCCGACGGGUUUCUCCGAGCAGGGUGGGAUCGCCACGCCCAAGGAACGCUCGGGCAGCAGCAGCGGGACAGUUACGGUGCCCUGUCUGUGCUUGUCCUUCCCCAGCUCUCAGGCUGCAAGUUCUGCUUUCUCAGCCUCACCAAACACACCAAUUUGGUUGAUCCCAGCACGAAUAUAAGUUUUAACCCCCCAACAUCUUUCCCCAUUCCUACUGAACACCAUUUCCUUUCAUUUGUAAGGUUCAAUUAGUGGGGAAAAAACCCCCACCGUGGCAAUUUUUAUUACAAAUCCAUAUUUUUACUAAAAAUAAAUAUAUAAACACCCUGCUUCACA